UUACGUACACUGAGAAGAAUUUCAUCUGUUACAGUAACUAGAAAAAUUCAGUAAAACAGGUAUCGUUAAAAAACUGUUUGAAUAUUGUUGAAAUUACGAAAAACGAGAGAUCCGAAGAGCGUC
rnacentral:lncRNA from 1 species